UUCUCUCUGCGCAUGUCAAGGAAAGAAGUAUACUUGAUCUGGAAUAAAUUAGAACAAAACAGAGUUAAAAUAUGAGGAAAACAAAAGAAAAGUGACAAGGAAGAGACCCGUGGUGGUGGUAGUAAAUGCGACGGAACCGGUGACGAGCUGGAGAAUGGUGACCCCGAUGGUCAGACUCAAAUGAGGAAUCCCAAAUCGAUUAAUUUAAGAGAAGCUCCGCCGUGGGUUCAAGUUUGACGAACGUCCUUCUCUUAUAGCCUGAACCUGUUGGACAAUAGCAUCAACCAAUAAAUAAAAUACAAAACAUUCAGAAAUAUUAAGUAUGAGCAAGCCUCAGUACAAAAAAGGCAUUCCUUUACUUUUCCUGUUGCAGCAGAUUCCAUGACUGCCUUGAUGAUUCUGUGACUUCCAGUAAACUGCUUACGUAUUCAGAUUAAUUCCACCAAAACUGUAGACAACACAAUAAUAUGAAAAAUCAAAAUCGCAGGCUUUAACAAUCCAGAAAUAACAGACAAUCAACUUAAAGAUUUUAGAAUAUAAGGUUUAGCGUAGAGAUCAAGACGCUGAGGUGGUUUGUAGACUGGAAUAGGGAAAAAAAACAUAUAUACCUGAAACCACAGCGCCUAUGAGCUCUUGUUGCUUCUCAAGCUGAAACCACAAAGGCAAGUAUGACCACGAUCACUUCGCCGGAGAGAAAAUCGAGACAAACGCCUGAUGGAUCUGAUGCUUGACAGAGAGAGACCUUUGGGAUUUGGUUUGCGUAUCUGUUCAUCCCUAGCGACGAACACAUUUAUAGUGUAGGGCUUCAGUCAGUUACUUUGGAAGAUACAAUGGCCGAUUUAAUUGGAGAGUGAGAAGAGAGGUGCAGUAGGUGUUAAUUCUUGGAUUAAUGUCAGUCGAUAACUACACCCGUUAGAGAGACCAACACCGGAGGUACAGAGAUGUGAAGAGACACGGAAAGCGACACAAUCGAUAAUCAGAUGAACCCCAAAAACAUGUGGGUCUCAUAAGGAAAACAAUAAAAGCCCAUCAAAUUAUUAAGACGUAAGUCCACAUGAAAAAUCAACACGUAAAGUUGUUUCUAAGCUGACACCUGUCAGCUAUCGCCCCUCCCUCCAUGCUGAUCUGGCGCAAGAAAAAGAGAUAAAAAUCUCUAUUAUUAUUAUAGAUAGAUAGAUAUCUGUUAUAGACAUCAAUUACGUAUGAACGGUGUAUGUAUAUCAGUUUUUCUAUUUUCCGGUGUCUUGCCAAUUUGAUGCCAAAGAUAAGUUAACGCACAUCCAGGUUGCACUGGGACGGAAAACAAGUAAACACUCUAAUUCGAAGAAAAUCUAACAGCAUCUUCAAAACACAUUCUCUAACUUUAAAUAUAUAGGUUCUUUGCUAUUUAAAAAAGAAUUUCAAAGUUGUAGUACUAAAACUGCUUACUACUCAGUUUCAUAUUUUAUUUUACAUUUUGAUAUUUACAAUUACAUAUCGAAUUGAUGAUUCUUAAAUAUGUUGUCUUCAUCAUUUUAAACCUUAAAAUGUUUAUAUCUCAUAAAUAUUUCAAUUUUUUUUUAUCAAUUUUAUUUUUACACAUAAAAUUAGAUAAAAACUUUAAAGUAUUUUAAAUUAGAUUUAGAAAACAACAAUAUUACAAAAAAACUUGUCAAAUACACUAGUUGAUCAUAUAUAAAAGUGUUACGAUAAUAUUUUUAUGAAAUAAUAUGGUAUUUUAAUUAUAAUUUAAUAUUUAUUUAUGUAUUUUAUGCAAAAUUUUAUAUUUAGCGUUACAUUUUAUUAAUUAAUAUUGUUACUAAUAGCAAACCAACAAUACAAUAGUACUUAUUGCUAGCUUAUUUUACAAACACGACAUUGUUUGUACUACAUGGCAUUAGAUACUUCCCCAAAGUACACAAUAAGACUGGUGAAGUUACACUGGUUUUGAACUGAGACCGAAACCAAGAGGGAACAAUGGGUCAUACGAAUUGGUACGAGCGUUUAGCGGCAAAUGCUCAACUGUUUUGAACCAGCUCACUGGUAACUUCCCCUCGAAGUCAUAAUCUCCAAAAAUGACGUCAGCCAUUCCUUGUCCUUCUGUUCCAGGCAGCCAAGCAGCUACUAGAGCCUCCGUCUUUUCAAGAAUUGUCGGCUCCAAGGCCACAGGUCGUCCUGAGAUCAACAUCACCAGAGUCGGGAUUCUCUCUGCCACCGUGGUUACAAUAUCGCUACCGUUAAAUGGUAUAAUGAGUUCCGAGCUGUCUCCUUUAGUCUCUGCAUAGGGUGAUUCCCCCACUGCAACAAUGGCGUAAGAGAAUCCUUCAUUCAAGGCUAAGGUUUCCUUUGAUGGAGUUUUCUCGUAGACCACUUCGGUAUUGUCUCCAACUGCUGCUUUUAUGGCAUCCAAAAGCGUCGUGCCUACAUUUCAGACAAAGAUAGUUAACUUUCCGACAGCAUCUCUACCAGUUAGUCUCUUUCAAAACCAUAUAGCUGUAGAUUUAACUACCGAUAGUGAUCCUGCCACUUAGACCGAACCAUGUCUUUGUCCACCCACCACACUGAUACCCAAGAUCAUCUGCAUGCGUUCCAGUCACUAGAAUUCUCUUGGCGUUGCGAUCUAGUGGCAGAAACGGUUUAUCAGCAUGUUUCCCGUUCUUUAGCAACACUAACGACUUUCUAACUGCUUCACGCCCCAAUUCUCUAUGUUCCUGCAUGCAUAGAAACAGAGUCAAUAAGGCUCUCAUACUUCUCUACUCGGGUACGUUACGAGACACAUCACCUUGCAGCCAACAGUUCCCAACAAAGAUCUGUCCGAAAAAGGAUGUUCGAAGAGACCAGCCACAAACUUCACUCUGAGUAUUCUUUCAACAGCGUCAUUGACCCGAGCCAUUGGUAUUUCCCCCGACUCCACCAGGUCCGUCAUGUCUUGUAUGAACUGUUCAUACUUAAAUGGUACCAUCACCUGCAAUAACAUUGAUUCCAUAAUGGUGAAAAUCAUAUGCUAAGAUGAAAUAUUUUUGCAUAUUCGUUUCAAAACUCUUACCAUGUCAAUUCCAGCAUUAACCGCAGUUUUAACGCAGUUGCGGUAGUUCGAUCCCCAAGGGUCACUAAGCCGGUCCAAACCUUCCCAGUCUGAAACUAUAAAUCCCUGGAAAGAUAGGAAGCUAACCCUUAGCACCAAACUUUAAGCUUUUUUUCUUUUUUUUUUAUUUAUAAAUUUUGCAUUAGUCACAAUCAAGAAAAGAGUUACACCAACCUUGAAACCGAGUUUUUCCUUGAGAACUUCUGUUAAGAGGAAGUAAUUGGAGUGAAGGUUACUUCCGUUCCAGCUGGAGUAAGAUGCCAUAACCGUGGAGACACCCUGAGCAAGACACUUAAGAUAUGGAGGAAUAUGUAUCUUCUCCAAGUCUUCAUAUGAUGCAAUGGUGUUCCCUUCGUUUACCCCCUUGUCCGUACCACCAUCUCCAACAAAGUGUUUGGCGCAUGCGACGACCUUGUUGCUAUCACCCAGUAAAAGAUCCCAUGAGAGGAUGUUAACAAGACUAUUUAAAAGACUCUAAAUCAAGCCAUAGUGUAUUUUGAUGAUACCUUCCUGCAACAAAAGGGUAACCAUUUGGGUGUUCAACGGGUGGUUCGCCUUGUAGUCCAGAGACCAGCGAAGUCAUCUCAGAGACAAGUCCAGGGUCUUCUCCAUAACACUCAUAGCUUCGUCCCCAUCUCGGAUCUCCCAAUACCUGUAAGAAAAACAAGAACAAAUUUCCAUUCAAUCUAUAUUUUAAAUCAUUAUAUUCAAUAAAUACUAAAAGCUGACUCACGGCCACGCAGGGAGCAAACGCCCAGUGAACUCCGCUCGCCCUAGCUUCAAGUGCUGUUGCAGCUCCAAUUCUUCUGACCAAAUCCGCGUCACUACAGAGUUACCACAAGACAAGUUUCAGCAGAAAGACAGAAACAGAACAGAUCAAAUCAAAAAGUAAGUCCUACGCAUCCAGCUCCAGCGCAUGCAAAUCACUUUCUGGACUUCUACUCUUUGACAGAAACAGUUAGUUUGCUCAAAGUGAAAAAAAAAGAAACCUGGUGGCUCCGAGGGCGAUGUUGUGGGGGAAGACGGUGGCGCCGUAGACAUUGUUGUUGCCGUGAACGGCGUCUGUGCCAUAUAUUAUAGGGAUUCCCAAACGCGACGCUAACGCUGAUCGCUGAAAGCCAUCUAUCAUAUCCGCCCAAUCCGACGACUUAGCAUCCUCAAACGGCGCACUCCCUCCGGCGUUCAGUACACUGCCUGUAUUUUUAAAACAAAAUAUAUAUUACUAAUUAUAGUAAGUCUGAGAAUGAAAAAGGAAGAAAAUCUGACAAAUGAUAUUUGCCAUAAUCGGCAAGAAAAAGGACAAGCAAGUAAAAUUUCAGACAGGAAGAGAUAAGAUGAUGUGUGGUUUGUGUGUGUACCGAUGAAGAAAUCUCUAAUGGCGGCUGGAGAAGCGACAGUACGUUCAAUUUGAGUCAUCUGGCCGAUCUUCUCCGGCAGAGUCAUGCGAGAUAGAAGGUCUUGCACACGCGCCUCCACUGGCGCGUCUGGGGUCUGGUAAACGCAUGGUUCUUCCUUUCCAACCAUAUCCUCUCAUACUCUUGUGUUAUCAGAACUGAUGCUACUUCUUCCUCUUUAUCUUACCUAAAGCCCAGCUGAGACGUGGCACCAACGAUUCCGACAUCCCACCAAAUGCUUAUUUAAUUGGUUUAAAUGAAAUUUUUGUACCCAUUUGACUGACACAUUUUCUGUUGUCAAUUACACUUUUAGUCACAUUCUCCCUGUGACACACUUUCUGGUGUGAAUUACCUAUUUUAUCUUAUAACCAUAGAUUAUUGAGUGAAUUACGUAAUUGGACGCUUUUAUCUUUUUUUAACUCAAAAGAACAUUUGUUAUUUGAAACACACAAUUCUUAUUAUCGAUGCUCUUGUGGACAAUUAUGUCAUUGACCAUUAAUGAAGUUAGUUGGGCUUUUGUUGGGGAAAAAAAACCUGGUUACUUGAAUUGGUUUUAUUUAGAUGGAAAAUUAAUUGUCGUUAGGUUUAUAGAACAAUACGUUUAGAUUUUAGCCACAAGAUUUGGAAAACUUUUUUAUAUCUAAUGAUUGUUAUGGCUUAUGUAAUUUAUUGGUUUGGAAAAGUAAGAGAAGAUCCAAAAAUGUGUUUAGUAUUCUUUUUAAAUUAAGCCGGGAUUUUUUGGUUAAAUGUGAUAACCGAUUUUUUUUCCAGAUUUCCUAACUAAUUGGUUAAAUUUUUUUUUCUGAAAAAGUGUCUUGCGUAGAUGUGGACACAGAGCUAAACAGAUUGCAAAAGAAAAGUUAAUAAUUAUACACUAGCAUGUCUAUGAAUGUUUUGCAUCUAGCAAAAUUCGGUUGAAACUACAAAAGAGAGCUUUAGUACAUACAUUACCAAAGAGAGCAUGAUGUAAAAGAGACUGUUAAUCAUCAGGAGGAUAGCUGAGGUGCAUGGUGAGAAGGACGGAUUAUGGUUUUGUGGAUGUCCAGAAAUGUGAGGGGCAGGAUCACUAUGUGUGUAUUGCUUGGGUAUUGUGGACAGAGGGGGUGUGUGGAUGUGGUUGUCAUGAACUUACGAGGAGUGGAUGGUGGUUUUGUGGACAAGGGACACAUGUGGAUGUUGUUACCAGCAAAAAGCAAGGGGGUUGGGGAAGUGGAUGUGGAGGCUGCUGUUAUGGGCGAUGUGGACAGGAGAGCUGGGGUUGAGGUCGGGAGACAGGUAGUAUUGAGCAGCGUAAUCCAGGGUAAUCUUCUUCCUCCAUGGAGGCUGGGAUCUGAGACACAUUUUUUAUUUUAAGCUGGUUAGUUCUGAUUUUAAGUCCCUGAAAAUUAAAUUUCAUACACAAACUAUAGCUUAAAUCCUUUAAAAUAUGGAUCCAAUAAACACAAUCAAGAUCAACUCAUUGUUCUUAUUACUUGUAAAUCUAAAGGAACACACUUUGGUAUAGCAAAAGUGGGAAACAAUGCAAAAGUACCCAGAUUAUCUAAACCCACUAAAAACCAAUAAAGAACCAAGAUUUAGAUUUAGAUGUUGAAAACUUAGAUUCACUUCUUACCAGAUUCAACACGAGUCUCAAAGGUUCUCUCUGCGCAUGUCAAGGAAAGAAGUAUACUUGAUCUGGAAUAAAUUAGAACAAAACAAAGCUAAAAUAUGAGGAAAACAAAAGAAAAGUGACAAGGAAGAGACCCGUGGUGGUGGUGGUAAAUGCGACGGAACCGGUGACGAGCUGGAGAAUAGUGACCCCGAUGGUCAUACUCAAAUGAGGAAUCCCAAAUCGAUUAAUUUAAGAGAAGCUCUGUCGUGGGUUUAGAGAAACGAGAGUGACGAACAGUUUUUUUUUUUUUGAAAUCUAGGUUAGCGGAGUCAGAAUGAGCGAGAAAAAUUGAGAUUUGGAAACUAGGAGGGAUUAGGGUUUUCACCUUUACUUUUGGAGAAAUAGGACGUGUUUUGCUUGGUUUGUUUUAACUAGUUAAAGUUUGGUUAGUUUAGGGGUGAUAAAGUCAAGAAAGUAUGUGGCAGAUAAGAAGUGUCUUUUAAUGAAAUUAGAA
rnacentral:lncRNA from 1 species